rnacentral:rRNA from 1 species
UACGGAGGGAGCUAGCGUUGUUCGGAAUUACUGGGCGUAAAGCGCACGUAGGCGGCUUUGUAAGUUAGAGGUGAAAGCCCGGGGCUCAACUCCGGAAUUGCCUUUAAGACUGCAUCGCUUGAAUCCGGGAGAGGUGAGUGGAAUUCCGAGUGUAGAGGUGAAAUUCGUAGAUAUUCGGAAGAACACCCGUGGCGAAGGCGGCUCUCUGGGACGGUACUGACGCUGAGACGCGAAAGCGUGGGGAGCGAACAGG